rnacentral:lncRNA from 1 species
GAAAGACUGAAGUACUGUUGACUAAAGGGAUUGUUCCAUUUUUAUUUCAAAGUAGUUUCAACCAAAGAUUUUAAUUACUGUCCUAAGAAAAGAAAGUGUAAACCCUAAACGCAAAAUCAAACACCAGAUGGUAAGCUGAUCAAAGGAUGUGGAUCCCAGACUCUUCUUUUGUCUGUGGGCACAGAAAAAUUCAUAUUAACAGUGCUACAAGCCUUCAUCAGAGCAGACCAGUGGGAACUGCCCAGCCACAUGGGUCCCUCUGCAGCAUCUCCCUCCCCAUCCCGUGCUCUCAGGCCUCCUGGUUGUGCCAGUACCUGGAUCCACACUGCAGAGACACAGGUGGUCAUAAAGGCCGUUUUACUGAGCUCCAGAAGAUAGAAUGGACGUGAACAACAGCAAUAAAGGCACAUCAGACCUCUGUAGUUGGUAAGUCAAAGGGAUAACUACCUUCCAUCAGAACUUGGACUAUCUUUAAGGAAAGGGCAGCCAGAACCUGCAGUAGAACCUUGCAGAGUUCAACCCUGCAGGAGGUUAGUUAGCUCAGUUUGGG